rnacentral:lncRNA from 1 species
ACGGAAUGUGUUUGCCAGAACAAUGCGGGAGUUGCAGAGAGAGGUGUCCUGUGUUUGUUCCCAGUCUUCCUUCAUUCACCUGCACCUGCCCCUGCCCUGCUUUGGCCAACAUGUUCUAUGCAGAGUCUUAGAGGCAAGAUUAGAAUGUUAAUCUAAAAGGAGUGCAAAUUUCUUCAACCAUUCCCACAGAGGAAGGUCUACUCUGUGAAAAGGAAAUGAUCAUACAUAAUUCACACAUUUGCUGUACGGAUUUAAUUAAAUGAUAGACAAAAAGUAGAGUGGCACAAGUCAAAAAAUAGUAACAACAAAAACAAUUUCAAAAUAAGCAACAGCAAUAAAUGUUACCUACUAUUUUACGAAUGAAAAUAUUGAGACCAAUAAAGGCAUUAUAGUAUAUGUAGCCUUGGAAUCAGAAGACCAAGAACAUACAAGAGAACAUAGCCUUGGAAUCAGAAGACCAAGAAACAAUUUAACUCUGCCCCUCUAGAGCUCUGAGAACUUGGGCAAGCCUUUUACCCUCUUGAAUUUUUGCCACCUUCAAUGAGAAAGACUGAAACAAAAAACUCAGAAGAAAGAAAGAGACUGAGAUAGCAAAUAUGACAAACCAUUAAAAAUUCGUGAAUCUGUUAUGGAAUACUAUGCAGCCAUAAAAAAGGAUGAGUUCCUGUCCUUUGCAGGGACAUGUAUGAAGCUGGAAACCAUCAUUCUCAGCAAACUAAAACAGGAACAGAAAACCAAACACCGCAUGUUCUCACUCAUAAGUGGGAGUUGAACAAUGAGAACACAUGGACACGGCGGGGGUGGUGGGAACAUCACACACUGGGGCCUGUCAGAGGGGAGGGGGCUAGGGGAGGGAUAGCAUUAGGAGAAAUAACUAAUGUAGAUGAUGGGUUGAUGGGUGCAGCAAACCACCAUGGCAUGUGUAUACCUAUGUAACAAACCUGCAUGUUCUGCACAUGUAUCCCAGAACUUAAAGUAUAAUAAUAAAAAAAGAGAUUAAAAAAAUUGGUGAAUCUCGGCAAAAUGUACACAGGAGUUUUCUGUACUGUUCUUGCAACUUUUCUACAGAUUUGAAAUGUUACAAAAUUAAAAGUAUUUUUAGAAAAAGA